GACGAACGCUGGCGGCGUGCUUAACACAUGCAAGUCGAACGGAAAGGCCUUUUCGGAGGUACUCGAGUGGCGAACGGGUGAGUAACACGUGGGUGAUCUGCCCUGCACUCUGGGAUAAGCCUGGGAAACUGGGUCUAAUACCGGAUAGGACCGCCCUUUAGGGUGUGUGGUGGAAAGUUUUUUCGGUGUAGGAUGAGCCCGCGGCCUAUCAGCUUGUUGGUGGGGUAAUGGCCUACCAAGGCGGCGACGGGUAGCCGGACUGAGAGGUUGGUCGGCCACAUUGGGACUAAGAUACGGCCCAGACUCCUACGGGAGGCAGCAGGGGGGAAUAUGGCACAAUGGGCGAAGGCCUGAUGCAGCGACGCCGCGUGGGGGAUGACGGCCUUCGGGUUGUAAACUCCUUUCGCCAGGGACGAAGCGUUUUGUGACGGCACCUGAAGAAGAAGCACCGGCUAACUACG
rnacentral:rRNA from 1 species